GCUCAGAUUGAACGCUGGCGGCAUGCCUUACACAUGCAAGUCGAACGGCAGCACGGGUGCUUGCACCUGGUGGCGAGUGGCGAACGGGUGAGUAAUACAUCGGAACGUGUCCUGUAGUGGGGGAUAGCCCGGCGAAAGCCGGAUUAAUACCGCAUACGAUCUACGGAUGAAAGCGGGGGAUCUUCGGACCUCGCGCUAUAGGGGCGGCCGAUGGCGGAUUAGCUAGUUGGUGAGGUAAAGGCUCACCAAGGCGACGAUCCGUAGCUGGUCUGAGAGGACGACCAGCCACACUGGGACUGAGACACGGCCCAGACUCCUACGGGAGGCAGCAGUGGGGAAUUUUGGACAAUGGGCGAAAGCCUUGAUUCCAGCAUUGCCGCGUUGUGUGAAGAAGGCCUUCGGGUUGUAAAGCACUUUUGUCCGGAAAGAAAUCCCUGGUCCUAAUAUGGCCGGGGGAUGACGGUACCGGAAGAAUAAGCACCGGCUAACUACGUGCCAGCAGCCGCGGUAAUACGUAGGGUGCAAGCGUUAAUCGGAAUUACUGGGCGUAAAGCGUGCGCAGGCGGUGAUGUAAGACCGAUGUGAAAAUCCCCGGGCUCAACCUGGGAACUGCAUUGGUGACUGCAUCGCUUGAGUAUGGCAGAGGGGGGUAGAAUUCCCACGUGUAGCAGUGAAAUGCGUAGAGAUGUGGAGGAAUACCGAUGGCGAAGGCAGCCCCCUGGGUCAAUACUGACGCUCAUGCACGAAAAGCGUGGGGAGCAAACCAGGAUUAGAUACCCUGGUAGUCCACGCCCUAAACGAUGUCAACUGGUUGUCGGGUCUUCAUUGACUUGGUAACGUAGCUAACGCGUGAAGUUGACCGCCUGGGGAGUACGGUCGCAAGAUUAAAACUCAAAGGAAUUGACGGGGACCCGCACAAGCGGUGGAUGAUGUGGAUUAAUUCGAUGCAACGCGAAAAACCUUACCUACCCUUGACAUGUACGGAAUUCCCGCUGAGAGGUGGGGGUGCCCGAAAGGGAGCCGUAACACAGGUGCUGCAUGGCUGUCGUCAGCUCGUGUCGUGAGAUGUUGGGUUAAGUCCCGCAACGAGCGCAACCCUUGUCCCUAGUUGCUACGCAAGAGCACUCCGGGGAGACUGCCGGUGACAAACCGGAGGAAAGGUGGGGAUGACGUCAAGUCCUCAUGGCCCUUAUGGGUAGGGCUUCACACGUCAUACAAUGGUCCGGAAACAGAGGGUUGCCAAGCCGCGAGGGUGGAGCCAAUCCCAGAAAACCGAUCGUAAGUCCGGAUCGCAGUCUGCAACUCGACUGCGUGAAGCUUGGAAUCGCUAGUAAUCGCGGAUCAGCAUGCCGCGGGUGAAAUACGUUCCCGGGUCUUGUACACACCGCCCGUCACACCAUGGGAGUGGGUUUUGCCAGAAGUGGCUAGUCUAACCGCAAGGGAGGACGGUCACCACGGGCAGGAUUCAUGACUGGGGGUGAAGUCGUAACAAGGUAGCCCGUAUCGGAAGGUGCGGC
rnacentral:rRNA from 2 species